AACCCAUGAUGAGGACAACUUCUCAAAAUAUACUUAAAUCUCUCUCAUGCAUCAUAUAAUGUCUCCAACUCAAUUUUAGCAAAAGAAGAGAUGUUGUUCCACAACUU
rnacentral:snoRNA from 1 species